GAUGAACGCUAGCGGCAGGCCUAACACAUGCAAGUCGAGGGGCAGCACGUCUUCGGAUGGUGGCGACCGGCGCACGGGUGCGUAACGCGUAUGCAACCUACCUCUUACAGUGGGAUAGCCCAGAGAAAUUUGGAUUAAUACCGCAUAGUAUACAGAUUCAGCAUUGGGACUGUAUUAAACAUUUAUGGGUAAGAGAUGGGCAUGCGUUCUAUUAGUUAGUUGGAGUGGUAACGGCACCCCAAGACAGCGAUAGAUAGGGCCCUGAGAGGGGAUCCCCCACACUGGUACUGAGACACGGACCAGACUCCGUACGGGAGCAGCAGUGAGGAAUAUUGGACAAGUGGGCGAGAGCCUGACUCCAGCCAU
rnacentral:rRNA from 1 species